UUACAUCUCCGCCUGAUGUCCAGAGUAGGAAGUACGCUGUUCGUCCUUGCGAGAUGCACGUCCCAUACAAGUGACCCCCAAGUACACCCUUCGUUCUAGGGGCAUGCCAUGUAAUGAUCAUUCAUCCCUGCAGCGGACAGGGAUCGCGCGCGGCGUGGUGAGGGCCAGCAGAGGCCGGAGUGGGGGUACGUCCCCCGUCCUCCCCGCGCCCCGCCAUCAGCGCCGGCCAAUGAGGGGCUAGCGUGAGCUGGCGCGGACGACCGUUCAAAUAAACCGCCCCGGUUAGGUUGGCAGCAUUUUGGUGUUAUUAAGUUGGCUCCUCUUUCCGACUGUCUUGUGUCUUGUCUUUGCGCGCGCUCUCGGCGUUCCUGUCUUUGUUUCUGUGCUACACUUCGCUCGAACUAUGUUUUUUCGUUGUGCCGACAAGAACAAUGGAUGGAAGAGAAACAAAUUUGAAGCACGGGUGCUCUCUUCAACUGGGAAUGAAUAGAGGGACCAUGAAGAGACGGCAGAGAAACUUUGCCUUCAUGAUGAUUCCGAACCCAACAUCUUUUCAAAAUGAAUCGGCAUCAGAAACAGAACUUAAUAAUAUGAUUCUUCUAGUCUCUUAGUUGUUCUCAAAGUCUGCAACUCAAUUUAAUAGAAGCAAUCAAGAUGUGGGAUGAAACUUGGACUACGAUUGAGAUUCUGAACUCCAGAUUUGACUUUUUGUUGCUCGUCACAGCUACUUCACACUAUAUUUGUUUCGUUUUGUACUCUGAUAGUGUCCAAGAGUCUGAAACUUGAGUACAUCUUCUUUUGUGGGCCAUGUUGACAUACAGCAAUUAUGAUAAGGGAUGAAAUUUGGACUACGAUAGAGGUUUUGAACCCACAAUAUGACUUUUUAGUUGCUCGUCCCAACUACUGCUCACUAGAUUUGUUUUGUUUUGUGCUCAGAGUCCAAGAGACAACAACUUUAGUACAUCUUCUUUUGUGGGCCAUUUUAACAUGAUACAAGCGAUUAAGAUGUGGGAAGAAACUUGGACUACUGUUGAUUUUGGUUCAAUUCUGAGUUGAUUUUGGCACCCACUGAACAUUGUGUGUGGUAUUUAACUUAAAACAGUGUUGAAUAUGCUUUUCUAUUUUAGCUUGAAUCAGUGAUUAAUUUGUUGUAUUUAUAAAAUUUAAAUUUAAAAUGAAGCUAAAAUCCAAGAAUUUGUGUCACAGCUGUUAGGUAAUAAUGAGUGUAUGUCACAUCACCUCAUAUUUAAAUAAAAGCAUUUUUUAAAAAAUCAAA
rnacentral:lncRNA from 1 species